ensembl:lncRNA
AGACUUGAUCAGAAACCUGUCUUGUCUCCAUCUCUCGUGUCCCCUGUCCUUUGUCAUUCUCGCUCCCCCUCUAGGGUCUCCGUUGACUUACCUGCAGGACGGGACAAGUGGCACCCAACGUGGGGCCCCUAGAACAGGGGAUCCAGUGAAGAACGCUGCUCGGGGGCCCAAUAAAAUACAAAAAAGAGGAUUGCGUUUGACGUGAACCUGCCGUCUUUCCUGCACCUUGGUUAAAAAGAUGACAUCCCUGAAUCUGUUGCAUGGUCUGUUGCUGUUCCUGGUACCGACAACAAAAAGCGGAUUUCAACCAGUUAACAAAGAACAACUGCUCAUUGCCCUGUAUGGUAACCCCUGUGACUGUGCUAGGGGUUCUGGCGGGGCUGCACCCACAAGUUACACUUGUAGUACUGAUUGCGGCAACAAGAUUGCCUACUUGGUUUAUGAGGCCGCACUAGCGGAAGGAUAUAACCAAAAAUGGGAUUGCGUCCCUAAGCCUAAAGUCAUACCAACAGUCAAUGGCGAACCAGGCCCAUGCCCUGCCAAUUGUGCCAAGGCCACAGAGAUGCAUUCUACCUGUUACACUGAAGCCCAACAAUGUACACAUUCCAAUGGAAAAAUAUAUCUAACUGCUGUUCUACAAAGAACUUACAGGGGCUCCGUUGGAGGUGACUGGGACUUUUCCAGCCCCACUGGAUAUCCUAAAUUUGGCCAAACCUCCUGCAACGACAGUCCUGGCAAAGAUGUCUGCUGGCCACCACAGGCCUCAAUUCAUGUAUCUGAUGGUGGCGGGCCUUCAGAUCAGCUCAGGGAAGAGCGAGUACAAAAACAGCUCGAGACUAUCAUCCAAGAGAUGUACCCCUCCCUAAAUUAUCAUCCGCUGGCCCUUCCCAAACCUUGAGGCCCAGACCCUGACAUCCAAACCCUGAGUGUCUUAGAGGCCACUUAUCAAUUGAUCAAUACAUCCAACCCAGCCUUUGCUGGGGAUUGUUGGCUAUGUUUGACCCUUGGCACACCCCUGCCCCUUGCCUUGCCAGUUGUCGACCAAACUGACUAUGCCAACAGUUCUAGUUACAAUUGCAGUUUUUCUCUGCCCUUCGGGGUCCAGCCAGUACAGUUCAAUGCUUCAGCUUGUUAUCUAAGUUCGGGCCACAACGAUAGCUUCAAUAUACCUGUCAGAGUCCAAAAUUUCUCUCUCUGCUCUGUAAUGCUUAAUGGCUCUGCCGCCAUUUGCCCUGCCCUGGGUCACAUGCUCGUCUGUGGAGGGAGCUUGGCAUUCACCUCCCUCCCCACUAAUUGGACUGGGCUGUGCGUGGUGACAACUGUUCUCCCAGACAUCGCCCUCAUUCCUG